AGUUCGAUCCUGGCUCAGAUUGAACGCUGGCGGAUGUUUAACAUGCAAGUCGAACGGCAGCACGGACUUCGGUCUGGUGGCGAGUGGCGAAACGGGUGAGUAAUGUAUCGGAACGUGCCUGCGGGCGGGGAUAACUACGCGAAAGGUAGCUAAUAUCGGCAUAUUGUUCCCCGGGGAAAGCGGGGACCUUCGCCUGCACGAUAGAGCGGCCGAUAUCGGAUUAGCCUGUUGGUGGGUAACGCCUCACUGUUGCGAUGAUCCGUAGCUGGUUUGAGAGGACGACCAGCCACACUGGGACUGAGACACGGCCCAGACUCCUACGGGAGGCAGCAGUGGGGAAUUUUGACAAUGGGGAAACCCUGAUCCAGCCAUCCUGCGUGUGCGACGCAGAAGGCCUUCGCCGUGUUAAUCUCUUUGGCAGGAGCGUUGAACGUGGCACGGGAUAAUACCCCGUGCAACUGACGGUACCUGUGGCACUGGCAACGGCUAACCACGCCAGCAGCCGCGGUAAUACGUAGGUGCCAGCACCGGAAUUACUGGGCGUGAAGGUGGCGUGGCGGUUCGGAAAGAAAGAUGUGAAUCCCAGAGCUGACCCCUUGGAACUGCAUUUUUAACUACCGAGCUAGAGGUGUCAGAGAGUGGAAUUCCUAUGUAGCAGUGAAAUGCGUAGAUAUGCGGAGGAACACCGACAUACAGCCCUUGAGCAUAACACUGACGCUUCAUGCACGAAAGCGUGGGGAGCAAACAGACGAUACCCUGGUAGUCCACGCCCUAAAUGAUGUCAACUAGCUGUUGGGGCCUUCGGGCCUUUCGGUAGCGCAGUUAACGCGUGAAGUUGACCGCCUGGGAGUACGGUCGCAAGAUUAAAACUCAAAGGAAUUGACGGGGACCCGCACAAGCAGCGGAUGAUGUGGAUUAAUUCGAUGCAACGCGAAAAACCUUACCUACCCUUGACAUGUCUGGAAUCCCGAAGAGACGGUAUGCUCGCAAGAGAACCGAACACAGGUGCUGCAUAUUGCUGUCAGCUCGUGUCGUGAGAUGCUGGGUUAAGUCCCGCAACGAGCGCAACCCUUGUCAUUAGUUGCUACGAAAGGGCACUCACGAGACUGCCGGUGACAAACCGGAGGAAGGUGGGGAUGACGUCAAGUCCUCAUGGCCCUUAUGGUAGGGUUUCACACGUCAUACAAUGGUCGGGACAGAGGGUCGCCAACCCGGCGAGGGGGAGCCAAUCCCAGAAACCCGAUCGUAGUCCGGAUCGCAGUCUGCAACCUGACUGCGUGAAGUCGGAAUCGCUAGUAAUCGCGGAUCAGCAUGUCGCGGUGAAUACGUUCGGGUCUUGUACACACCGCCCGUCACACCAUGGGAGUGGGUUUUACCAGAAGUAGUUAGCUCAACCGUAAGGAGGGCGAUUACCAGCAGUGGAUUCAUGACUGGGUGGUCGUAACAAGGUAAC
rnacentral:rRNA from 1 species